rfam:Pan troglodytes isolate Yerkes chimp pedigree #C0471 (Clint) chromosome 3, whole genome shotgun sequence.
GCCGGGCGUGGUGGCGCAUGCCUGUAAUCCCAGCUACUCAGGAGGCUGAGACAGGAGAAUCGCUUGAACCCGGGAGGUGGAGGCUGCAGUGAGCCAAGAUCGUACCUUUGCACUCCAGCCUGGGCCACAGAGUGAGACUCUGUCUCAA